CGACCUCACAUCAGGCGAGACA
rnacentral:rRNA from 1 species